rnacentral:rRNA from 1 species
GCAUAUCAAUAAGCGGAGGAAAAGAAACCAACAGGGAUUGCCUCAGUAACGGCGAAGUGAAGCGGCAACAGCUCAAAUUUGAAAUCUGGCUCUCGGGCCCGAGUUGUAAUUUGUAGAGGAUGCUUUUGGUGCGGUGCCUUCCGAGUUCCCUGGAACGGGACGCCAUAGAGGGUGAGAGCCCCGUCUGGUUGGACGCCAAUCCUCUGUAAAGCUCCUUCGACGAGUCGAGUAGUUUGGGAAUGCUGCUCUAAAUGGGAGGUAUAUGUCUUCUAAAGCUAAAUACCGGCCAGAGACCGAUAGCGCACAAGUAGAGUGAUCGAAAGAUGAAAAGAACUUUGAAAAGAGAGUUAAAAAGUACGUGAAAUUGUUGAAAGGGAAGCGCUUGUGACCAGACUUGGGCUUGGUUGAUCAUCCAGGGUUCUCCCUGGUGCACUCUUCCGGCCCAGGCCAGCAUCAGUUCGCCCCGGGGGAAAAAGGCUUCGGGAAUGUGGCUCUCUCCGGGGAGUGUUAUAGCCCGCUGCGUAAUACCCUGUGGCGGACUGAGGUUCGCGCAUUCGCAAGGAUGCUGGCGUAAUGGUCAUCAGUGACCCGUCUUGAAACACGGACCAAGGAGUCGUCUUCGUAUGCGAGUGUUCGGGUGUCAAACCCCUACGCGAAAUGAAAGUGAACGCAGGUGAGAGCUUCGGCGCAUCAUCGACCGAUCCUGAUGUUUUCGGAUGGAUUUGAGUAAGAGCAUACGGGGCCGGACCCGAAAGAAGGUGAACUAUGCCUGUGUAGGGUGAAGCCAGAGGAAACUCUGGUGGAGGCUCGCAGCGGUUCUGACGUGCAAAUCGAUCGUCAAACAUGGGCAUGGGGGGCGAAAGACUAAUCGAACCUUCUAGUAGCUGGUUUCCGC